ACAUUGCCUUAUAUAGCCAUCAAGGCACACCCACUCAGAGCCAUGGUCAUUUGCAUAUGUAGACUGAAAGACAC